UACAGAGGGGGCAAGCGUUGUUCGGAAUUACUGGGCGUAAAGGGCGCGUAGGCGGCCUGCUAAGUCGAACGUGAAAUCCCCGGGCUCAACCCGGGAACUGCGUCCGAUACUGGCAGGCUUGAAUCCGGGAGAGGGAUGUGGAAUUCCAGGUGUAGCGGUGAAAUGCGUAGAUAUCUGGAGGAACACCGGUGGCGAAGGCGGCAUCCUGGACCGAAACUGACACUGAUGCGCGAAAGCCAGGGGAGCAAACGGG
rnacentral:rRNA from 1 species